UACGUAGGUGGCAAGCGUUAUCCGGAAUUACUGGGUGUAAAGGGUGUGUAGGCGGGAAUGCAAGUCAGACGUGAAAACUUAAGGCUCAACCUUAAGCCUGCGUUUGAAACUGUGUUUCUUGAGAGUGGGAGAGGUAAACGGAAUUCCUGGUGUAGUAGUGAAAUGCGUAGAUAUCAGGAGGAACACCGGUGGCGAAGGCGGUUUACUGGACCACAACUGACGCUGAGACACGAAAGCGUGGGGAGCAA
rnacentral:rRNA from 1 species